GAUGAACGCUGGCGGCGUGCCUAAUACAUGCAAGUCGAGCGAACAGACGAGGAGCUUGCUCCUCUGACGUUAGCGGCGGACGGGUGAGUAACACGUGGAUAACCUACCUAUAAGACUGGGAUAACUUCGGGAAACCGGAGCUAAUACCGGAUAAUAUAUUGAACCGCAUGGUUCAAUAGUGAAAGACGGUUUUGCUGUCACUUAUAGAUGGAUCCGCGCCGCAUUAGCUAGAUGGUAAGGUAACGGCUUACCAAGGCAACGAUGCGUAGCCGACCUGAGAGGGUGAUCGGCCACACUGGAACUGAGACACGGUCCAGACUCCUACGGGAGGCAGCAGUAGGGAAUCUUCCGCAAUGGGCGAAAGCCUGACGGAGCAACGCCGCGUGAGUGAUGAAGGUCUUCGGAUCGUAAAACUCUGUUAUUAGGGAAGAACAAAUGUGUAAGUAACUAUGCACGUCUUGACGGUACCUAAUCAGAAAGCCACGGCGAACUACGG
rnacentral:rRNA from 1 species